AAGAACCAAGAUAGCGGCGAUUUGCUUUCUAACGGUUGCAAAACAAACCAAGAAGAGAGCCAUCUAAAUGCCUCGUCACUCACUCAACCAAAAGUCCAGAGCUCUAAAGUCUAAAUCACUCCCUCUUUUCCAGACCUAGCUUCUCUUCGACCACCCACGCAACGCCACCAUCGAUCGUCACCCCUAGAGUCUCCAUCAGAAUCACAGAACCACCACCGUCUCCACCUUCACCAAACAACCACCGCGAAAACCCUUUCUCUCUUUCUCUUCCCAUGUCUCCUGCCUUCUCUGUCUCGCUGGCGGCUACCAUCCAGCGUCACCGCGGUCAUCUUCUUCCCCUCCUUACAACCUCGCACUGUGGGCCUGUGGCUCUCUAGCUCGCCCAUGCCUCCCUCAUUCCCAGUUGCAGAAUCAGAAUAGAGCCACUCUAAUGUUAAUUCGACUCAGGUUCUCAUAUCACAUUUUCUUCUAUAUUUUAGUUAAUUUAGGAUUAGUUAUAUGUUGAUUCUAGUGUUAAUUUAAUUUGGUUAGAGUUAUUUGCUGCUGUUAGUUGAGUUUAGGUUAGAAUUAUGAUUUUCUUAUUAGAAUUAGUGUUUUAUUUAUACAUAGUUAAACAUGCUAUUAAGAGUUUCUUGAGUUUGAAUUUCAAUUUGUUUGGAUUGAUUGAUUGAUGCUUUGCUGAGUCACUGCGAAACGCUACUGAUUUUUCAUGCCAUUGGUGCUGAAUUUUGAUUUAAUGUUGCAAAGAAUGCUUGUUAGUGCUAUUUUGUGUUGUUUAUGCUUUUGCAUGUCAAGUGUUCGACAAUAUGCCAAAUGUUUUGAAUAUGUUUUAAAGUUUUGUGCAAAUAUGAUCUAUGAUAAGGACACUAUGGAUGGCAAUGUUUGAUCCAUUUAGUGCACCCAACCUAAUGAGAUAUGGCUUGGUUAUUGUUGUAUUGUUCUGGCAAGAGAAAAUUUUGUUUCUUGCAAUAUCAUGCCACAGUUAGUCAAUAUUAUGUAGGAUGGAAUAGGAUGGAAUCAAUGUCGACUUUGCACCGAAGAUUUUGUAUUACUUGAUAAAAGCAAUGAUGUAUGCAAUUUCACCAUAAAAGAUAUAGGUGCUAUACAUGAGUAAGUGAGACAUCUACUUUGAAUUAUCUUCUACUUUUUUAGGCUUAAAAUGGAGAGAAUAUUGAGCUGAUUAUGUUUUCAUUAGUCAUGUCAAUCUAGAACUAAUCAUAUUAGUUUUUCUUUCUUCUCCGGUAUGUGUGAUCCUAUCUUCACUAUUGGCCAAGGUCGUCAAUGCAAUUUAUGGCUUAAAGAUCCAACGACCGUUGGCAAUAUUUUAUGCAAGUUGAAGUGAAAAAGUUAAAAUGGUUGACAAGAUGGCAUAAAUUAUCUAAUUUUGGCAAACAAAAUUUUUUCCUUUAACAUGUGUUCUUAUUAUUCUUAUUGCCAACUCAUGAAAUAAAUUUUGGUAACUUUUUUCCCCUAAAAAUUACUCUGCAGUUUGUUUGGAUGGGAGUGCACCAGCUUACCAUCUUGAUAGGGGAUUCAGAGAAAGGAUAAACAAUUGGUUAGUUCAGUUUGAGGUGUGUCAUAUCCCUUUCUGCAAAUUGGCAUCAAUAAUAAGUCUUCACCAAUUACCAACUCAAGAAAACAUUGCUUUCAUUAUUUUGUUUUUCCUCAGCUGACAAAUGUGAGCAAAAGAGUAUGAAGAUAAAUAUAAGCAUGUUGGAGAUGUAUCAUCCAAGUUAACUAUUGAGGAAGCCACAUUUUGUGAUAUAUGGAUGCAAUGAGAUACAGAUUUCUCUUCAAUUGAUAGCAUGUGUUGAAAACUUGUUAUUACUAGCCUAUUUUCUUAAAUACUAUCAAACUAUUUCUUUAUUUGAUUUGCAGGAGAAAAAAUUUGAAUUGUAUCAAGCAAUUGCAAGAUGGAACAAUAUGAAAAUGUUGAUGGUUCAUUACAGGCCCAUGCUGAUCAUAUCCAAUCAGAGCUUGAUGAACUGGUAAAAUCUCUAAAUGAGCGAUGUAAGAAGUAUAUAUGGAUUACGUGCAAAGGCAACAACA